rnacentral:lncRNA from 1 species
CUUGCACAUAUUGCAAGUUAUUAAAGGUCAAAGUGCAUUGACCGAACACGAUUUCUGGAAUUCUGGGCAAACCCAGAAACCCAGAUUCCUGACAACGUUUUUCGGGCCUUAGAUCUUGCAGUUGUUUGAUCGGUAAGCCAUGUUGUUGUAUUUAUGUUGUUUUCUGUCAUAUGGACUACAUAUAGAAGCUUUUAUAUCACUCAAAUGAGUAGCAGAAUCAAAGAUAUACCAGGUCAAACAUGCGUUG